rnacentral:lncRNA from 1 species
GUCGCUCUCCAGCGCUCCUUGCCGCCCGCGCCUCGGCUUCACCGGCCUCGCCCCAAACUUAAAAACACCUGAGCAGGAGGUUGAACGAUUCCCUCGGAAUCUCUCCUCUUCACUAACCCAGCGAACCACCCCAAAUGCCCCUAUCCUCCCCCAAAUAAAAUCCGCAGAGCAAUUAACAAAGAUACUCGGCCAAGCCCCGGUUUCCUCAUCUGUCCCUGCCCCCUCGAACUUUCUGUGCUUCCCCAGUCUCGACCAGGGACAAACUGUGUUGAAGCUCAAUGACUUUCUGGCAGAAGUGAACCUCCAGCUUCGUUUUCUGACAGCCGUGGUUCUUCACAGGCCUGGUUUCCCACUCCGGACCCUCCACUGCCCCUGGUGGCGGCCACCAUCUUACCCCCAGCUCCAGGGUCGCGCUGAGGACGCGGCCAGCCCCCAGCCGCCGUAGUUUUGAACUACAUUUCCCACCAGCCCUUUCUCAACAUCGCGAGAGUUCCGGAGAGAUUGCCGAGAAGACUUGCGCGCAGGGGCGGUCUCGCGUUCUUUUCGAGGUCGGCCGCGUGGCUGGAAGACAUGGCCACUCCAGUCGGUGUUGAGCACGGCGAGCAGUCUCAGGCCUUUAGUGAUGAUGGUAAGGCUGCCUGGGUGGGAAAACGGGGUCUUCCUUGACACGACACUAACAUACUUGGCUUCCCUUCCUCAGAGACGAAGUGGUGACGAUAAUCUCGGUUUCUCCCUCAUAGGGUGGUUAGGAGGGUUAAAAGUACUGGAUGAGAAAAUGCUUUCCAAACGUUGAGAAAAUGUUACUAUGUGAAGGGAGAGAGCUCAAGCCCGUCCUCGGCGUCAUAGGGCCGGCUUCUGCGGGGGAGAGCGCCUAACAACCUGGGCAGCCCCGUGCGCCUCCGCCGCGCGUGUGCUGAGCGUCAUGCCCAGGGGUCUUCGGUGCCCGCGCACGGGCAGACUCUGACGAUGGUGGUUCUUAAUUCAGCAUCAGGAGUGUUAACGUGUGAAGACGUGAUUCCGCUUGGAGUGUCUUGAGGACGGCCCCAAUCGGUAGUUCAUAUUUAGCUUUACAGAUAGGAGUCAAUAGGAUUGUAAACUUCUGGAAAGCCGUAGUUUUAACAACGAGCCUUUUUUCCUCCCCCAGAGGCCUUUCUUUGUUUGGCAUCUGCAGAGACGGUGAAAAGCAGAGCUCCAGGUUGAAGGAUCAGAGUAAUAGAUGGAGCCCUUAACAUGAGUAAGAGUGGGUGCAGGCAGGGCCUGAGUGGUCACUAGAAAUGAGAAAGCACAGUUGGUGCCAUCACAUACAUUCACCUCCUGCUUUAUUCUGAAGUUCAAGUAUGAGAAUACGUGUUGACAUACAAGCCAGCUAUGGUAAGAAAUUACUCAAAAUUCAGAAUGCUAAUUAUUUUAAUGAUAAAAAUGAGUAGCGUCUUUGCCCGUGUGAUUUGGGGCCACUAGGUGUCAUUGUAACCAGCGUGGAUCCUCGUUAGGGCAUGCAGGGAUGAAAGAGACAUGGCAAAUGAAUUUUGGAUCGCUAGGAUUUAGGAAUCUUUGUUAUUGGCUGAGCUGAGGAUGAUUUAAAGUUAUCCCUGUCUGAAAUGGUAUCUUUUGUGAGGAGGUCUGACUUGCUGAGGCUCAGCUGUUUAAUACAAAUCUGGAGAAUAAACCUUAAGGUGGUUUCUGUUAGAAUGAAGCCUGUUAUCCUUCUCUUUUAGAUUAAAGGUGGUGGCUGUGGCCUUGAAAACAGUCAUGUGAAAACUCAUCACCUUAAGGUGUUAAGUGUAAGGAUCUUCAUGAUGAAAUUUCUGUAAAUGGUGAGAUUUUUAGUACUUUCAUAGACUUGAAUAUGCUUAUGGUCCUCUUUAAGUAUUGGUUUGUUAGUUUUGGGGAUGUGUUGGUCUUCCAGGGUUACGAUUGCCCAGAUAAUGGAAGUAGUAUGGAAUUCCUUUUGAUAGGGUCCUUGCCAAGCACUCUCAUAAAGAGCAUUUUUUGUUUGUUUGUUUUGAGACAGAGUUUUGCUCUUGUUGCCCAGGCUGGAGUGCGAUGGUGCGAUCUUGGCUCAGCGCAACCUCUGCCUCCUGGGUUCAAGCUAGUCUCCUGCCUCAGCCUCCCAAGUAGCUGGGAUUACAGGCAUGCACCACCACGCCUAGCUAAUUUUGUGUUUUUAGUAGAGACGGGGUUUCUCCAUGUUGGUCAGGCUGGUCUUGAACUCCCGACUUAAGGUGAUCUGUGCUGGGAUUACAGGCGUGAGCCACCUUGCCUGGCCAUAAAUAGUAUUUCUAAUAUCAACCCCAUAUGAGGUAAAUUUUUUUCCCCACUCUGCUGCUGAGUAAGUAAAAGUGAGGCGUAAAGAGUUCUUUUGCCCAAAGUUAUACAAGCAGUUACUGAGUUAGACUGGCAGUUCUGAACUGGGGAGCGAUGGUGUUCCUGGCAUCUGGUGAAUGCUACUAUUAAUAAAUACCCUGGCUGGGCCUGGAUAUUUAUCUCAUGCCUGUAAUCCCAGCACUUUGGGAGGCCGAAGCAGAUGGAUCACCUGAGGUCAGGAGUUCGAGUUCGAGACCAGCCUGGCCAACAUGGUGAAACCUUGUCUCUACUAAAAAUACAAAAAUUAGCUGGGUGUGGUGGCGGGCACCUGUAAUCCUAGCUACUUGGGAGACUAAGGCAGGAGAAUCUCUUGAACCCAGGAGGCAGAGGUUUGCAGUGAGCUGAGAUGGCACCAUUGUACUCCAGUCUAGGCGACAAGAGCGAAACUCUGUAAAUAAAUAAAUAAAUAAAUAUCCUACAAUGCAUACAACAGCCUGCAUGAGGAAUAAUUGAUCCACCCAGUAUGUCAGUAGAGCUGAGGUUGAGAAACUCCUGUAUACCACACGUUAGGCUAACUAGAGAUCUGAGCUCUAGUCUCAGCCUAUUUUCUCACCAGAGUCUUGUUUCUUCAUUUGUGAAACAGGGUUAGUGAUUUCCAAACUUGAUUAUUACAUCAGAGCCACCUACAAAGUGUUAAAAUAUACACAUUCCUGGGCCUCACCUCCAGGCAUGGGUGAGAAUGGCUCUGGAGUGGAGUCCAGGAAUCAUGUGGCCAGUCCAAGAGCAAGUGGGUAGUAACUAGAUCAGGGGUGUCAAUCUUUUGGCUUCCCUGUGCCACAUUGGAAGAAUUGUCUUGGGUCACACAUAAAAUAAACUAACACUAAUGAUAGCUGAUGAGCUAAAAAAAAAAAAUCUCAUAAUAUUUUGAGAAAGUUUACAAAUUUGUUGGGCUGCAUUCAAAGCCGUCCUAAAGUUUACAAAUUUGUGUUGGGCUGCAUUCAAAGCCGUCCUGAGCCACAUGCAGGCUGUGGGUUAGACAAGCUUGAAGUAGAUGAUCUGAUCUGUUUUUAGUGCAAGGAUUUUAUUAUAGUGAGAUUAUAGUGCUGGCUAUUUUUAAGUAGCUCUUGGGCAAAUCUCUAAUCCUCUGUCUUAAAAAACUGAAAGCCUGGAGGGCACGGUGGCUGACACCUGUAAUCCCAGCACUUGGGGAGGCCGAGGCAGGUGGAUCAUCUGAGGUCGGGAGUUCGAGACCAGCCUGACCAACAUGGAGAAACUCCGUCUCUACUAAAAAUACAAAAUUAGCCUGGCGUGGUGGCGCAUGCUUGUAAUCCCAACUUACUUGGGAGUCUGAGGCAGGAGAAUCACUUGAACCCGGGAGGUGGAGGUUGCAGUGAGCCGAGAUCGCGUCAUUGCACUCCAGCCUGGGCAACAAGAGUGAAACUACUUUUCAAAAAAAGAAAGUCACAUGCUUGCUCCACAAAGAAUUUGCGUGAGGGAAGUGAACAAUUUGAUGAGAAAAAAAUAGUUUGCGUGUGCUGUGGCUGUUAGUGCUAUGGUCCAGCAGGUUGGUGGGAGCUGAGUCCAUGAUGAUUUCAAGUUAUCCCUGUCUGAAGGCAAAGAAAGGCCUUUCUGUGUGGAAUUUGAAUAUCUGAAACUCAGUUUCCCAAGUUUGCCUUACAGAAAUUUUAAGUUACUUGAGAGUUACUCUGUGUGUAUCUUCUUAAGUAGUUUUUUUUCUUAAUUUCUCUUCCCAGGUGCAGUCAGCCUCAGUUUCCAAAGCCGGAAAAGGAUCCUCUAGUAGCCACGGUGUGGCAGCUGCUCUGAACCAGGACCUGGACCCGGACCCAAAGUGCCAUGUCUUUAAUGUUAGCUCCCAGCGAUGCCAGAUGGGAUCAGCACAGCCCUGCCUCUGCUGCUAAUUGUUCCUCUAAAGUAAUCGCCAUGCGUUCUUUGGGCUUCAUCUUUAAAGGAAUGAAGCAACUGAGAUUAUUCUGGAAAACCUUUUGGCAGUUAGUGAAAUUAGAGUACAACUAAGAACAUUUUCAGACCUCCACUGUGGAUGACCUGGGUAUAAUCUCACAAAUCGAUGGGACUGCAAGGAUUGUAAACUGAAAUGAACAUGAUUAUACUCUGUUGGAAGAGCCUAAGAGGAAACUGAUGCCAUGAGUUUCAGAGAGUAAUGCUUAACCCCAGUUACACAGGAUGCCGUCUUGUGUUUCCUCUUGUUUAGUUACCCACUACAGUGAUUUUGUGAUCUGCUAAUGGGUUGCCACCCACAACCAUUGCUUUAGCACUUUUACUUCAAAUCAAUGAAGGAUUGAUAAAAGUUCUCCUGGUGUCUCCGCAGAGUGCCUUCCAGGAACAGAUCUUUGCAUAGAAUAUCAGUGGUUUCCUUUUUUGUUUCAAAUAGUGGUCAGAAAAUACCCAGUGUUGACUCACCAAGGCAAUCAGCUUCCUUUUUCCCUUUUUUUGUUUUUUUUUUAACAUUUUAUAUUUUUGCUUUAUUUUAUUUUAUUUUAUUUUAUUUUAUUUUAUUUUAUUUUAUUUUUUGAGACGGAGUUCCACUCUGUCGCCAGGCUGGAGUGAAGUGGUACAAUCUUGGCUCACUGCAACCUCCACCUCCCGGGUUCAAGCAAUUCUCCUGGCUCAGCCUCCUGAGUGCUGGGACUACAGGCGCGUACCUUCUUUAGUAGAGACUGGGUUUCACCAUGUUGGCCAGGAUGGUCUCUAUCUCCUGACCUUGUGAUCUGCCUGCCUCAGCUUCCCAAAGUGCUGAGAUGACAGGUGUGAGCCAUCAGACCCAGCAUUUUUUUUUUUAAUUUAAAUUUAAAUUUUUUUUCAUUUUUUUGAGAGGUUUUUUUUGUUUUGUUUUGUUGUUGUUGUUGUUGUUGUUUUUGAGACAGUCUUGCUCUGUCACCCAGGCUGGGAGUGCAGUGGCAUGAUCUCUGCAACCUCUACCUCCCAGGUUCAAGCAAUUCUUGUGCCUCAGCCUCCCAAGUAACUGGGACUACAGGUGCACGCUACCACACCUGGCUGAUUUUUUUUGUUUUAGUAGAGACAGGGUUUCAACCAUGUUGCCCAGGUUGGUCUCAAACUCCUGAGCUCAGGCAAUCCACCCGCCUUGGCCUCCCAAAGUGCUAGGAUUACAGGUGUGAGCCACCACACCCAGCUAUUUUUUCUUUCGUUUUUUAAUUUUAAAGUUGGGGGGGGGUCUCAAUUUGUUACCCUGGCUGGUCUCGAACUCCCGGACUUAAGCGAUCCUCUGGCUCCAAGCCCACUACCAGUCUCAGGUUUCUUUACUAAAAGAUCACUACCUUUUUUUCUCUUAUCUGCUGCCAUGUGAGAUGUGGCUUUCACCUUCCGCCAUGAUUGUGAGGCCUUCCCAGCCAUGUAGAACUGUAAGUCCAAUAAACCUCUUUUGUAAAUUAAAAAAAAAAAAUCACUAUUUAAGAUACUAGGAUGGAUUGUGACUGUUGAGGAGUACUUACAUAUCCUACAUUUGACUACAUUAUUUCCAAACCAAGUAUUCCAUCCAAAGGAACAUACUGCUAUCAUAGAGACCAAGGAGGGACUGUUUAAGGUUGCCAAGGUGAAGCGAGCUGAGAGGCUUUGUCCUCGUGCCAGUAACUCUGAAAUCUCUCUUAAUUCCUGCUGUCCAGGCAGCAGAAUGCCAUGGUUUCCCCAAGUAGGUAGCUGCUUUAGCAGUUAAAGCCCAAAUGUCUGUUCUGUUGAUCAGAGGUCUCUGAAUUUCUGAAGUGGUGUUUCGUUUCUGGUGACUGAGUUAAUCCUUUACAAUCCCUCUUGUAAAGUGUGCUAAUAGAAAGAAUCCACCUUUCAAAGCUGCAGAACCAGACCGUGCCCUAAAUUGACCAACGUAACUGAUGUGCCUCAGGAAGUCUCUUGCCAGCUGUCCCUGUGAAGACCCCCCUCCUCCCCCCCAGCUGCUGCCUUGCACACUGAAGCAUCUCAGACUGUGCAAAGCCGUGUAGUCAUCAAGACAGUAAAUCCCAGGGCUUGGUUAAGUGCUGUGUGAUAACUUGUUUGGAUGAGACUUAACUUAAAACCACUUACAAUAAACUUGGGAAACUACCGUCAGCUGAGUUCAAAUUUACUGACGCCAUGAUAUGAGGAUGAAGGUUUAUUACCUGGUGACAUCAUCCUGUUGGUGACAAGGUGGUGAUACAUCUCUAAUGGGACUUCCCUCAGUGGCAGGCAGGCUGCCAAGCAACUAACCCCCAUCAAGUGCCAGACCCUCCCAGUGUUCUGAGAGUCAUCUCCAUGCUAAACAGCCUGCGUUUUAUAUGAUUUCUCUACCCAGCCAAAAAAAAAAAAAUGGUCCAUCAUGUACGCAGUUAUCUAGUCUUAAGUUAUAUUCUGGCUUUUUUCUCCCACUUUAUUAUGGAGCAGAAGUAAGCCUAUCAUGUUCUUAGAAAGGCUCUUAAGAGGUGUCCUGGAGUCCUUGAAUCACUUUAGCAUCUGGGGUAGGAUGUGCCACCAGGAGGAUUUGGGCUGGAGCGUGUGUGUUUGCCUUUGACCUGGACUGCUGUCUGAUCUUGCUGAACACUCCACCGACAUUUCCUAAAGUUGCUCAGUGCCAAUCCAGCAAAGCAGUCCAUUUUCCCUUGGCCAAGAUUGAGAUGUAUUGUUUUAGAUACAGAAGAGUUCUUGGAUGAGCCAAGGACAAGCUGGGGUGUCCUAUAUUGAACAGACCUCGAUGAAAAUCUUGAAUUCACCCCAGUGCCCUCUGUUGGCAAGGGAAGGUGAAGAUUGAAAAGUUAAAAAAGCUUUUGGCCACUUGAGAGGAUCAGGGCCGCAACUCUUGAAGAAGCAAAGGGCUCAGUGCAUUGGGGUCAGCGCUGGUACAGCUGAAGGAUGCCGGCCUUGUGCAGGUCCCUCCACAGGGCAGCUUCCAGGGACAGAUCGUGGUUUGCAUAAAAUAUCAAUGGCUUCAUUUUUCGUUCGAAAUAGUGGUCGGAAAAUUUCCAGUAGUUGCUUGUGAUGAAUCCAUAGGCACUGACCUGGGCAAGGAUAGUCGCUGGAUUAGUAUUUGUUGAGCGUCUAGUGUGUACAGACACUUGGGUGAAGUGACAUGAGUUUAGAAAGGUGUCCGUCUGCUGAGGUGAGGAUAAUGGUCUAGGGCUUAUUCCCACUUAGCAAGUGGGGAGAUGGAUUCAGGGGUGACUCACUGUGUCCCCACUUGGCAUAGCUGGUGAUUGCCAGAGCUGGAUUUGGAACUCAAGGGUGGAGGCAAAAGCCCAUUACUACUCUCUCCAUCCUAACUGGGGACUGCAGUCAAGACACUCCUGCAUCAGAAUAGGAAAAGGCCCUGUGUGGUGGCUCACGCCUGUAAUCCCAACACUGGGAAGCUGAGGUGGGAGGAUCACUUGAGCUUGGAAGUUUGAGACCAGCCUGGGCAACAUGGUAAGACCCUGUCUCUACAAAAAGUAAAAAAAAAAAAAAAGAGCUGGGCGUGGCAGUACAUGCCUGUGAUCCCAGCUACCCAGCUACUUGGGAAGCUGAGGCAGGAGGAUCAUCACACCACUGCACUUAAGCCUGGGUGACAGAGUUGAGACCCUGUCUCAAAAAAGAGGGAAAAGAUUUAGGUGUGAGUCGUGGAGAGGCAUUUGGCCCCCAGCUCUCCAUACCAGCUUUAGCAUGGGUCACGGCCUCUCCUUGAAAGCUGCUGCUUGGCCCCUGCCUCCAUGAGCUUCACGUGGGUCAUAUCCCAUCAGGAAUGACUCUUAACGGUGAUUUCAAAGUAGUUGCAUGUGGGAGGCUAAACCUGCUGCCCUACCCCAGCUCUAGGAUGUCCCCAUAAAAGAAUGUCCCUAUUUGGCCCAGUAUGUUGAGGACUUUGGCUUUCACAAGGGCAGUUUGAUGAUUUGAGCCUUAAAUACCAUACUGAGUGGCUGCCUUGGAGAAGAGUGAAAGAAGGAAGCCUGGGGCAGGUGUCAGGAGCCAAGGCAAGCCUGAGGCAGGUGUCCGGAGCCAAGGCAAGGCUGGCCCAGGACCUGUCCUUCAAAGGCCCCAGGGUUGUGGGCAAGGAAGUGAGCAGUACCAGCAGCACUCUUGGAACUGGGGAUUCCACGAACAGAGGCCAAGAGUCCCAGCUCCGAGGUAAGGGAUAUCAGGGGAUCCUGUUGGGUUCUGUUAUCCUGUGUUCUGCCGGCAUGGGCUUCUGGAAGAGAAGGCCUCUUACCUGGUCACAGGUAUGCAAAGCUGUCAGCAGCAUGAGAGCCCCGGUACUAGGCAUAUAUAGGUCUCCAAAAUGUGUGUUAAUCAACUUUGAUUUCAAGAACCUGGAAGCAAAAAGAGACAUUUCAGCUCACUAGCUUGAUGGCUAUCAUCACACUUCACAACUACACAUUCAAAUAGGUGGGAAAACUUCAAAAACUGAGGGCCUUCUACUCCAGUCAGUUCUUUAUUCGGUCCAAGUGGACUAAAUACAAAGAUCUUUGAGACCUUAGGUAAGGUUGGGGGAGGGGGUGGUGAGAAAGGAACCACAGGUUCCCCCUUUUGGCAACAGCUUGUUUUCACCCCAAGCUACUAAGUAACCACACUGCCAAGGGCAUAGGUGGCCUGUUUAUUUAGCCUGAGACUGCAGUUUCUCUCUACUCCACAUCUUGAUUAAGUAGGAAUCACGUGUGAGGGACAGGGAGCUCAGACCCUGUGACCGGACCCACACAGUCCAAGAGUGAGGCCAGGGUGUGACCACGGGCUCUGCCCUCAGGCCUGAGUUCACAUCGAGCUGUGCCAGGCCGAUCACCUGACCUCUCAGAGCCUGUCUUCCUCUGUAGCACGGGACUAAUUAGAGGGGCUUCAUUUGCCUCCCCACAUCCACACACCCCUCUCCAACUGCUCCCUGCCCUGGGAUUCGAGCCUCUGGUCCACAGCAGGGUUUCUCAGUCUCAGUGCUGUUGACACUUGGGGCCAGGUGCUUCUUGUGAUGUUCAGCAGCAUCCCUGGCCUCUACCCACUGAUGGCACUUGCCGCCACCACCCUUGUGACAACCCCAGACGAGGACCAUAUGCACAUCCACAUUGAGAACCCCUGGCAGGAGGGAGGGAAGGGGGUUGAGGCUGGUCCCCGGGUUCCUUCCGGCACCUUGUGUUGGCUGUGUUUGGGCCUGAAGGUUCUGAUGCCCUGCUGCUGACGGCGCCACUGCUGCUGUGCACCUUAUGGUCCCAGCUCCCAGUCUGUGCCUUUGUAUAAACCUCCUUGAGUUAUCCUGAGUUUCCUGUCCAUUUCCUGGUGACUGACAUAUAUCACCCUCCCUCUAUCAAGGUGCUAAAUAAAACAGUAAAUGAAGUGACAGUGCUUUGCACACAGCACUCGGGACAGUGGAGCUCUGGUUAUCGGUCAGUGCGUGGGGCUCGUGCGAGGGCGCUGACUGGAUGUGGGUGGGUGUGUAAAAGGGGGAAGGAAGGGGACGCUGUUCUUCAGGCACCCCACUCCGUACCUUUCUGUCAGGUAGCUGAUGAAGUCCGGAUGUAGCAGCUUGAAUUUACUGGCAGAGGCUUCUGGUCCAAAAUAGGCGUGCGGCCUAGGACCCAUGAUAGAAGUGGACAGAGCGCCCAGAGCCGUCGUAUUGCAAGGGGGAGAUGGAGGGGAGGGUCAGGGCGCCGGAGUAGCCGCGGUACCCUGAGCGGUAGGAGCGGGGCUGGGAGUAGUAGCGGGAGAAGGGGGUGUAGAAGGUGGCAGGCAGUACGUUGGGGACCACGUGCGGCUUCCCGCUCACCAGGACCUCCACGGGCGGGG